ensembl:lncRNA
GAAUGUAUGGGAAUGUGAAAAUAAAAACAGCGAAGAAGGUGAGGCCAACAAGUGUGAACGUGAGAGAAAAGGUGAGAUUAAGGUGAGAGAGGGAGUGAAAACGAGUGUGUGUUAAGGUGAGAUGAUCCAGUGUGUGUUAGGGUGAGAUGAUCCAGUGUGUGUUAGGGUGAGAUGAUCCAGUGUGUGUUAAGGUGAGAUGACCCAGUGUGUGUUAAGGUGAGAUGAUCCAGUGUGUGUUAAGGUGAGAUGACCCAGUGUGUGUUAAGGUGAGAUGACCCAGUGUGUGUAGCUGAACAGCAUUAGGAAUGUCCCACCUUCUGGUCCUGAGCGCUCAUACAGAAUCCCCCUUCAAAAGUGCCCUGCAGACUCACCACCGACACGUCCAAACACAGGCCACACACCCAG